rnacentral:rRNA from 1 species
UACGUAGGGGGCUAGCGUUGUCCGGAAUCAUUGGGCGUAAAGCGCGUGUAGGCGGUCCGGUAAGUCCGCUGUGAAAGUCGGGGGCUCAACCCUCGGAUGCCGGUGGAUACUGUCGGGCUUGAGUACGGAAGAGGCGAGUGGAAUUCCUGGUGUAGCGGUGAAAUGCGCAGAUAUCAGGAGGAACACCAAUUGCGAAGGCAGCUCGCUGGGACGUUACUGACGCUGAGACGCGAAAGCCAGGGGAGCGAACGGG